CAGCGAGAAAGGCAAACUGGUGGAAACAUUAGGACGCAAAACUACAGGAGCUAAGGCCGAAAGGCUACGCUAGCCAGUUACCGGA
rfam:Bacillus cereus ATCC 10987, complete genome.